UGUGCAUCAAAGAACAGGCAUGGGAAAAGACUCGUCUGGCAGUCUAAAAUAAAUAAUAAAAUGCCUAAAAUGUAUUAGCUGUAUAAGUUACAGGAGUUUAUAAGACUAAUAAUACCAAAUACAUUAAGUUUUUCAAUCUUACCCAAAACAAAUACUCAUAUAGUUCUAAUAACACCUCAGGAAAAUUCAAUGGCAGCCAGGCAAUACAAGAAGACUUCGAGAUUGAACUCACCGCCCAUAAGGAAGAGCAGUCCUGCCACAUACUGCAUGAGGCCGCGGUCCCAGCAGCAUCCCAGCAUCCCGAUGAUCCAGCCGAAGAGAAUGAUGGCCACCGCCAUUCCCAUAAACCCUGCCGUCAUCCUCCGCAGAUCUGAAAUCAACACAUGUAAACCAUUCAGAGAUGAUGAGGACACAAGAAACAUCCACUACUGCAUCUCAUUUGCUUGUUUGCUGGGCUGCAUUGUGGAUUAAGUAUUAAAUAUGACAAAUAAAU
rnacentral:lncRNA from 1 species